UGUGUCUGAGUGUGUGCGCGGUUUUUUUUUUUUUUUUUAUUGCUCUUUGCUUUUGCAACCCUGAAGCAAAAGGGAGGGGGGGUAGUUACAGGGGAAAAAAAAAAAAAGCGAGAAAGAAGCUCUUAGAUUUGCAACACAUCGGAAAACCGAGGGAGCACCCCGCCUUAUCCGAUCUCCAUGCUCCGCGAGGGCCUUCCGGGUUUUAAAAGGACGAGCUUAUCAAUGUCCCCCUCUUCGCUGGGUUUAGGAUCCGAGGAGUCCGAGCAAAAAGUUCUCCCCCUGGGUCGUAGUGAGGGGUGUCAGGGUGGGAGUUGCGGGGAUUUUUCAAGAAGAAGCGGCUAUCCUUCCUACCCCGGCGUCGGUCACUGGGCGGGGGUAGGGGAAAGAGCAAAAUCCCAGUGGGUUUGCGCGAGGGAUCUUCUGGGGUCUAGGCGGGGGGGGGGGGGAGUCGGAACCGGGAGACACCACUUGGCGCAUCUCCCCCUCGGUCUAUACCUCCUGUCUUUUGCCAGCUCCCCCUUUAAUUUUUUUUCUCUCCUUUAAUCUAAUUUCUUCCAACUCCACCUUUGUUGUUACCGGCGUCACGCCCGGACCAGCCAAUCCCCGCCACGCAAUCAGCUUGUCAAAAAGCCUCGGCCGGCCCUGGGAAAGCAGGCCGCAGGCGCUGCCCCCCGGCGGCGGCGGGCAGCCGCGAGGGGAGCCCAGCACCCGGUUCUCGCUGCUCCGGGCGGCAGCGGAGCAGCCUCCGACGAGACGUCUCCCGGUUCACUAAACUGCAGGCCGGGGAUGAAAGGCCUGGACGGGGUCCACCACCCACCCUCCCACUAUCAUGGCUGUGGUUGUCUGUCUUUGCCUCCCCUUUUCAGAGGAAAGGUUAUCAGGACAGGACGCAGGGAGCCAGAAGACCAUCUGAAGGAAGCCUGCUUCCAGCAGGCCCAGUCUCCAGCCACCGCUUCUGGGGCAGCGCCAUUGCUCCUGGCUCUCAGGCUGCCAGUCUCCCACACCGAGGCUCUACUGCCCGCAUCUCGGCCAGCUGGAUCACCCAGCCCUUUUCGACUCUCCCCUGGCAUGCAGCCUUCUCCUCCACUCGGCCUGCCUCUUUGCUGCUGUAAUUCCUCUUGUCUCCUGGGAGAAAUGAGAUUGUUUUCCCAGGACUUCCAGAUCCCACUUCUGUCACGUUUCACAAACAGGGAGGAAGCCCUGUCAAGAUCUGGAAUCAGAAGGUCAAAUGAGAUGAUGUAUGUAAAAGUCCUCCACAGAUGGCACUUGCCACAUUACAGUGAGAGAACCUGAGACCCCCCCCCCCACCAACAACGUUCCAAAUCUUCCACAAGCAGAUCUGGAGUCCAGGUGUCCUGGCUCCUGGCCCCGAACUUUUUGGCUGGACCAAGGGGCUUUUUGGUAAAAUGCUUUGGAAUAAAACAGGAUGAACAUGAAUCAUAA